UUUGGCUUGUAUGAACUUGAGGCUUGACUAUAUUGUUGACUAUGUUGUUUGUUGAUUUGCUCUCCCUUCUAGUUUGUCCUUUGAUAAUUAAUCUUUGUUGUCGAUCCUUGUCUUUAUCAAACUCUGACUUUCAUCAACCUUUGCCUUCAUCAAAAUCUAUGUGAUGCAUGCUUGCACAUACAAUUUGUUCAUGCAUGUAUGCUUACAUCUUCAAUAUCCCUUUUUUAUGAUGACAAGCACUUGUUGAUUCUUGUUGGAUCUGACAAGUCCUUGUUGGAUAUGCUUGAUGGUAAUCAACUAUGUUUUGCAUCUUCAAUCUCCCUCUUGCUCCCCCUCAAUUUGAGCAUCGGGUGAUUCAUCUUGUUCUUUAUGGAAACCUCAACUUUUCUUCUCUUGCAACUCCUCCAAAACAUAAACAACAAAUUUUAUCCCCCUUUUGGCAUGAUCAAAAAGCAAAGUGAUACAUGAAAGCUGAUUUCCAAAAGAAAGGAAAAAUAAUGCAAAUUCUACUGAUGUAAAUCGAUUAUAAUGGAACUUAAUUGAUUAUGUGUGAUUCAAUUUUAUCCAGAAUUGCAUUUUAUACAACAGUUAAUCGAUUAUGGUCUGUUGUUAAUCAAUUAAACUUACUGUUAUGACAUAAUUCAGUGCAUAUUACAUGCUAUUUGAAGAAUGUUAUGUAACUUGAUAUUCACUUGUUUUAAACACUUGUUUUAUGAAAAUUACGCACAAUAAGAUCAAUGCAAAAAAAUUAAAGAUAACUAAGCAUUCAUUCAUUCAUUGAUCAAAUGAUCACAAGAGUGAGAUAACAAGUACAUAAUUCAAUUAAAGCACAAAAAAUAAAGCAUCUCAUGCGAGUACAAUUCAAGUUAGAGCACAAAAACAAACUAAGAAGUUUGGAAUUACAACUCAAUGACCAAAAACAUGUAGACCACACACUCCUAAAACAACACCUGACUAGGACACACUAGAGAUUCUAAGCUAGCUAGGAGGUGGUUGCAAAAAGUCACCGAAGGUUUUGAAUAGAAAGUGAAGUUGCUCGAAGCGAUUUUGAUUAUCUUCAUCUUGUCUCCGAAACUCCGCCAUGAGCCUAUCCUCCAUCGAUUGCAUUCCCGAAUCAAUUCUCUCAUUCAAGUGUUGUUCCAUGGCAUCCAGAUGAGCCAAGCCAAAUGAAGGUUCUUGAGGCAUACUAGAAGCCUCGUCAUUUUGUUGCUCCUGGUUUGCUCACCUUGCUCACCACUUUCAUCCUCAUUAGACAUAUCCAAAUUCACAGUGGUCUUAUAGUCCUCUUGAUACAUCCAUUUACCUCCAUAUUUAUAAACGCUCAUAUUGUGAAUGAGAUUCUCUUGGACCAUCUGCUCUUUGGGAUUUACAACAAUUAUCUCCACACCAGAUGUGUCGAUCCCUAGAUGACCAAUAACACAGGAGAUAAAGAUCCCAUAUGCUAGCAGCCUUGAAGAAGGCGAUGUAAUGCCAUACAUGACUUUCAAAAUCUCGUUUGGCCAGCUUAUCAUAAUUCCUUCCUUAAUAGCAAACAUUAACUUCAGGUCAUUCAUAGUUGCUUGCGCGUGAUUUGUGUUACGCUGAACCAAAAUGUAAGCGAUCAAGUAAUGUAUUAUCUUGUUUUCCAUGGUUAAGGAACUGACCUUUGUAAGCUCACCUUGGACAAAAUAGUGAGGUCCCCUCAUGAAUGACUUGUACAUCUCUGUAGAGUCAUACACGCUCCAUUUUUCAUCGAUACAAUCUCUUAGGGAACCUUCAUCACAUGCCAAGCCUCCAACAACCAUAAAUAGCACAUCAUUUAACAGUACCAGCUUCCCUUAUACCAUACUUCUAUAUCCACCAUCCUUUUACUGAAAAUUAGCAUAGAAUUCUUGAACAAAAGAAGGGUAAAUGCUGCCAUUUAAAUCCAAAAACCAUACAACCCCUUGUACCUCCAAUUCGUGCAAGAAUUGAAAUCCAUGCUCCACCAUCCAUGCCAUGUCGUCAUAUCAAAUGUAUGUUGGUUUUCGGCUGACAAACCUCGCCAACCCUUCUGAUUGGAGAGUAGGAUCAGAGAAUGGGUCCAAACCCAUGGAUGGAUUCUGCCCAACAUUGGAAGAAGACCCACCAACAUUGAAGUUUCUCGUUUGUCCCAGAUGAUGAAGAGAAUGGUUCAUUCCAAUAGUAUGUUUUACUCUAUUGGGUCUCUCAUUACUCAUUUUGGUAGAGAUAGGAGAUGGAUAAUGAUUAAAAGGGAAACAUAAAUUAGGUUUAGAAAGAGGGGUAACUUAAGUUACUCAAUUUAAUUCAACCGAAUUGAUGAGUUAGAGGAUUAGAGGAGGAAAGAAACAUAGAUUGGGUAGCUCUAAUCUUAGUGUGAGGAUGAAUUACAAGAUUAAUUUGGGACAAUAAGACAGAUUGCACGAGGUUAGGAUUUGAAGAGAUUGGGUAGCUCUAACCUAGAAUUGUAUUUCGAUCUGUUUUAUGACUGUAACUAACCGAUUAACCUCUAUGUUAAUCGAUUAACAGGAUUUGAAUUUUAACACAGUUAAUCCAUUAUGUUCCAACUUAAUCAAUUAAAAUUUUAAAACACUUUUAGCCCAGGUAAUCGAUUAAAUCACAUAGAAAAAACCCAGGUAAUCAAUUAAAACAAAUAGCAAACCAUUAAAUAAGUCACAAAAACAGAUUUUGGCACAGUUUGAAUUAGUUUAGAGGUUUGCUAAGACUCUAAUAUAGAGGAUCUAUCCUAAACACUUAAUGAACACUUAAGUCGGAGCCAAAAGAUACAUGAAAGCAUAUUCAAUCAAGCAUGUAGUAUACAAUCAAGAGUACAUGCAUUUGUUGGCGAUAAUGCACUUAUUUAGGAUUAUAUAGAUGUCUAGCAUGCAUUCAAACACUUAGGUAUAAUAUCGGACAUAACAUAUGAUAAGAAAUUAUAGAACAAUAUAUGCCACGAUAUUUGGUUACCUCACAUGUUUUACCUCAUCAAUAUCAAAGUGUUAGAAGAUUGCCAUAUUUGAUGUCUUCUUUAGCCUUUCUUCAAUUUCUUGAUUCUUGCCUUUUUCUUACAUAGCACUUCAAUUCUUGAAAUGUUUAUCCUCAUGAGUACCUAAAAAAUAUUAAGCAUACCUUU
rnacentral:lncRNA from 1 species